AUUGAACGCUGGCGGCAUGCCUAACACAUGCAAGUCGAACGGGGCAGCAAUGCCUAGUGGCGGACGGGUGAGGAAUACGUAGGAAUCUGCCCUUAAGUGGGGGAUAACCAGGGGAAAACCUGACUAAUACCGCAUGAUCUCUUCGGAGCAAAGAGGGGGACCGCAAGGCCUCUCGCUUCUGGAUGAGCCUACGUCUGAUUAGCUAGUUGGUAGGGUAAAGGACUACCAAGGCGACGAUCAGUAACUGGUCUGAGAGGAUGAUCAGUCACACCGGAACUGAGACACGGUCCGGACUCCUACGGGAGGCAGCAGUGGGGAAUAUUGGACAAUGGGCGCAAGCCUGAUCCAGCAAUGCCGCGUGUGUGAAGAAGGCCUUCGGGUUGUAAAGCACUUUAGCCUGGAAAGAAAAAACUUUGGUUAACACCCAAAGUCUUGACGGUACCAGGAGAAUAAGCACCGGCUAACUCUGUGCCAGCCGCCGCGGUAAAAC
rnacentral:rRNA from 1 species